rnacentral:rRNA from 1 species
AUUGAACGCUGGCGGCAUGCCUUACACAUGCAAGUCGAACGGCAGCACGGGUGCUUGCACCUGGUGGCGAGUGGCGAACGGGUGAGUAAUACAUCGGAACAUGUCCUGUAGUGGGGGAUAGCCCGUCGAAAGCCGGAUUAAUACCGCAUACGAUCUACGGAUGAAAGCGGGGGCCCUUCGGGCCUCGCGCUAUAGGGUUGGCCGAUGGCUGAUUAGCUAGUUGGUGGGGUAAAGGCCUACCAAGGCGACGAUCAGUAGCUGGUCUGAGAGGACGACCAGCCACACUGGGACUGAGACACGGCCCAGACUCCUACGGGAGGCAGCAGUGGGGAAUUUUGGACAAUGGGCGAAAGCCUGAUCCAGCAAUGCCGCGUGUGUGAAGAAGGCCUUCGGGUUGUAAAGCACUGUUGUCCGGAAAGAAAUCCUUGGCUCUAAUACAGUCGGGUGAUGACGGUACCGGAAGAAUAAGCACCGGCUAACUACGUG